rnacentral:lncRNA from 1 species
AUGUUGAAAUUUAGCAAACUUCUUAUACACACACACACACACACACACACACACACACACACACACACUCAUACUUACCAAAAGAAAUGGACACAUUCCCAAUAUGAAUACAUACAGGACACAUGUAUACCUAACCUACAUCAAAACUACAUAUUGGGAGAAGGAAAAAGUACUUUCCUAGGCUCUUUGCUCAUUCUUCUCACUUAAGAACAGUCUUAUUUUACCAAAUAAUGCAAACCUCAAAUUGAUUAUUUUUGACAAGAUACUUAAGUUAGAAGCAAUAAAAUUGGAAGUACCUAGGACUUUCUGCUUCACUUUCUCUCCUCCUGUCACUCACAUGACCUAGAACUCAGGCUUCCAUUAUUGCAAGCUCCCUCUUACUCCCCUACAGAGCAAUUGCAAUCUCAAGAGUUUGGAUAAAUUCUUAUAUACUGCAUGGCUGGCAAUAAUUGUAAAAUCCAACUAUAUAUUACCCUGUGGGGUUGAAAACUUGAAGUGAGAAAAUCCUUGAUUCAUUUAAAACAUUGGAGUGAGAUUCUAAAAAUCCAAUGUUGGAAACUCAGAAAUCCAUAAGCCUCACAGAGAGUUUCUUUGUACUGAGUCUGGCUUCCUAAGAUGCCCAGAUAUGGAUGACUCUGGUAGCUUAGGUAUAACAGGCAGACUAGAUCAGCUCAUUCUUAGGUUGCAUUAUCCCAUCAGGAAGGAUCUGCUCAUCUAGUCCACCCUUGCCUCUAUGAUGGGGAGAGAACAUCCAUGAUUCCCUAUUAGAAAAAAAGCUUAGUGAAUGGUACAAAUUCUU